ensembl:snoRNA
AGCUCUUCUGUGAGUGUUGUUGAGAUGGCACAUUUCAAGACUUAAACACAAGUGUAAAAAGAAAUCCUCUUUUGCAAUCUAGAACUCUUCCUCUGUAUGAGUUUUGACACAUAUAAGAAGGAAUGCA